rnacentral:rRNA from 1 species
GCAGUAGCCGCGGUAAUACAGAGGGUGCGAGCGUUAAUCGGAUUUACUGGGCGUAAAGCGUGCGUAGGCGGCUUUUUAAGUCGGAUGUGAAAUCCCUGAGCUUAACUUAGGAAUUGCAUUCGAUACUGGGAAGCUAGAGUAUGGGAGAGGAUGGUAGAAUUCCAGGUGUAGCGGUGAAAUGCGUAGAGAUCUGGAGGAAUACCGAUGGCGAAGGCAGCCAUCUGGCCUAAUACUGACGCUGAGGUACGAAAGCAUGGGGAGCAAACAGGAUUAGAUACCCCUGUAGUCCCUGUCUCUUAUAA